rnacentral:rRNA from 1 species
UGCGUAGGUGGCGUGUUAAGUCAGUGGUGAAAGCCUGCAGCUCAACUGUAGAGGUGCCAUUGAUACUGACAUGCUUGAGUAUGGACGAGGUAAGCGGAAUUUGUGGUGUAGCGGUGAAAUGCAUAGAUACCACAAGGAACACCGAUAGCGAAGGCAGCUUACUGGACCAUAACUGACACUGAGGCACGAAAGCGUGGGGAGCGAACAGGAUUAGAUACCCUGGUAGUCC